ensembl:lncRNA
CUGAAGAUGGAAGUCCGCAGGUCAGUGAAGGAAGGCCUUCCAGGCAGGCCCAUCUCCUUCCACGCCUCCCUCAGGUAGACGGGCAGGUUCUUGAUCUCAGUGUUGGUGGAAUUGAAAAAGAAGUACUGGGCUUUAUUUCCCCCUGGCAGACAGUGCUUAAAUUUCAGGAAGUCUGAAAACCAAGAGUACUCCUCCUUGGUCAGCGACAUCUGGAUCCUGGUUUGCAUUUGUUUUGCGUUUCCCACCUAUUAGAAAAUGGAGGGAAAAAACAGGCAUUAACGCUGCAGUCGUUUCUAAAACCAACCAACCACGUUCAGGUGUACGGUUAUAGACUUACGUUGAUCAGACAGGUCCCAGACAGGUCCCAGACAGGCCCCACUGGGCCACAUUCAGGUGUACGGUUAUAGACUUACGUUGAUCAGACAGGUCCCAGACAGGCCCCACUGGGCCACGUUCAGGUGUACGGUUAUAGACUUACGUUGAUCAGACAGGUCCCAGACAGGCCACGCUGGACCUCCUCCACCUCCUUCACCAUCAUGUUUCUAUAAAGGCCCGGGCUGUGGCCGUACAUGGAGGUGAAAUAGGCACACAGGAAUCCGUAAAACCGGUUCUGGUUCUUCUGUGUCAUAGUUUCUUCCAAGGUUU